GGCAGCAGUAGGGAAUCUUCCGCAAUGGACGAAAGUCUGACGGAGCAACGCCGCGUGAGUGAUGAAGGUUUUCGGAUCGUAAAGCUCUGUUGUUAGGGAAGAACAAGUACCGUUCGAAUAGGGCGGUACCUUGACGGUACCUAACCAGAAAGCCACGGCUAACUACGUGCCAGCAGCCGCGGUAAUACGUAGGUGGCAAGCGUUGUCCGGAAUUAUUGGGCGUAAAGGGCUCGCAGGCGGUUUCUUAAGUCUGAUGUGAAAGCCCCCGGCUCAACCGGGGAGGGUCAUUGGAAACUGGGGAACUUGAGUGCAGAAGAGGAGAGUGGAAUUCCACGUGUAGCGGUGAAAUGCGUAGAGAUGUGGAGGAACACCAGUGGCGAAGGCGACUCUCUGGUCUGUAACUGACGCUGAGGAGCGAAAGCGUGGGGAGCGAACAGGAUUAGAUACCCUGGUAGUCCACGCCGUAAACGAUGAGUGCUAAGUGUUAGGGGGUUUCCGCCCCUUAGUGCUGCAGCUAACGCAUUAAGCACUCCGCCUGGGGAGUACGGUCGCAAGACUGAAACUCAAAGGAAUUGACGGGGGCCCGCACAAGCGGUGGAGCAUGUGGUUUAAUUCGAAGCAACGCGAAGAACCUUACCAGGUCUUGACAUCCUCUGACAAUCCUAGAGAUAGGACGUCCCCUUCGGGGGCAGAGUGACAGGUGGUGCAUGGUUGUCGUCAGCUCGUGUCGUGAGAUGUUGGGUUAAGUCCCGCAACGAGCGCAACCCUUGAUCUUAGUUGCCAGCAUUCAGUUGGGCACUCUAAGGUGACUGCCGGUGACAAACCGGAGGAAGGUGGGGAUGACGUCAAAUCAUCAUGCCCCUUAUGACC
rnacentral:rRNA from 1 species